CCUACGGGUGGCAGCAGUGGGGAAUAUUGGACAAUGGGGGGAACCCUGAUCCAGCGACGCCGCGUGAGUGAAGAAGUAUUUCGGUAUGUAAAGCUCUAUCAGCAGGGAAGAAAAUGACGGUACCUGACUCAGAAGCCCCGGCUAACUACGUGCCAGCAGCCGCGGUAAUUCGUAGGGGGCAAGCGUUAUCCGGAUUUACUGGGUGUAAAGGGAGCGUAGACGGUGCAGCAAGUCUGAUGUGAAAGGGCGGGGGCCAACCCCGGGACUGCAUUGGAAACUGUUGAACUGGAGUACAGGAGAGGUAAGCGGAAUGCCUAGUGUAGCGGUGAAAUGCGUAGAUAUUAGGAGGAACACCAGUGGCGAAGGCGGCUUACUGGACUGUAACUGACGUUGAGGCUCGAAAGCGUGGGGAGCAAACAGGAUUAGAUACCCCAGUAGUC
rnacentral:rRNA from 1 species